CCUACGGGUGGCAGCAGUGGGGAAUAUUGGUCAAUGGGCGGGAGCCUGAACCAGCCAAGUCGCGUGAGGGAAGACGGUCCUAUGGAUUGUAAACCUCUUUAGGCGGGGAGCAAUGCCGGGCACGUGUGCCCGGAGGGAGAGUACCCGCAGAAUAAGCCCCGGCUAACUACGUGCCAGCAGCCGCGGUAAUACGUAGGGGGCAAGCGUUGUUCGGAAUGACUGGGCGUAAAGGGUGUGUAGGCGGUGUAGCAAGUUAGAAGUGAAAUACCUAGAGCUUAACUCAGGUGCUGCUUCUAAAACUGCUAUACUUGAGUGCAGUAGAGGAAAGUGGAAUUCCUAGUGUAGCGGUGGAAUGCGUAGAUAUUAGGAGGAACAUCAGUGGCGAAGGCGACUUUCUGGACUGUAACUGACGCUGAGGCACGAAAGUGUGGGGAGCAAACAGGAUUAGAUACCCGAGUAGUC
rnacentral:rRNA from 1 species